rnacentral:rRNA from 1 species
GGAUGAACGCUGGCGGCGUGCCUAACACAUGCAAGUCGAACGAAGCGUUCGCCCGAUGAAGCGGAGUGCUUGCACAAAGCGGAAUCAAUUGAGACGACUUAGUGGCGGACGGGUGAGUAACGCGUGGGUAACCUGCCCUAUACAGGGGGAUAACAGUUAGAAAUGACUGCUAAUACCGCAUAAGCGCACAGUAUCGCAUGAUACAGUGUGAAAAGCCGAGACGGUAUAGGAUGGACCCGCGUCUGAUUAGCCAGUUGGCAGGGUAACGGCCUACCAAAGCAACGAUCAGUAGCCGGCCUGAGAGGGUGAACGGCCACAUUGGGACUGAGACACGGCCCAAACUCCUACGGGAGGCAGCAGUGGGGGAUAUUGCACAAUGGGGGAAACCCUGAUGCAGCGAACCGCCGCGUGAGCGAUUGAAGUAUUUCGGUAUGUAAAGCUCUAUCAGCAGGGAAGAAAAUGACGGUACCUGACUAAGAAGCUCCGGCUAAAUACGUGCCAGCAGCCGC